ensembl:lincRNA
CCAGAUGUUGCUAAGAAGGUGCCCAUGGACACAGUGAGUACGGAAUUCCGAGUCUGAAAGGGUUCUAGGUUCCGUUUCACGUGAGAUAGUUGAGGACCCUCCCCAAGGCCAGGCCAGGCUCGUGACUGCAAAGGCCGUGAUCUCUGUAUCACAAUGUCAGUCUAGUGACAUGAUCACUUUAGGUCUGCAGGGAAGCAAACCAAUUCUGGACCCUAAGGAACACCAGACCCUAAGGAGGAAACACAUUGUUGACUUGAUAUUUCGUUGGUUCAUUGCUAGUUGUAAGUUCUGUGUGUGAAAGGGCUGAAAUACUUUAGUUGUGAGGGCUCAGGGUCACAUGCUCAAGUCUGGUACUGUGACCAAAAUACCUCUAGUUUUAAAAGCCACCAGUAACUGAUCAGCAGAAAUCCUGUUAGUCUGUAGCAUGUCAUUGAACUGUGAGCAGUAAGACCUCCUGGACAAUUCCCCAAUGGGAUGUGAAGUAAGGUACCUAAUUGUGACCAAGACCACCAGAGUACAGGAAGGGUGGUUUUCAAUUAGGCUAUAUAUGCCAUAGCACAGGAUUGUGUACAGCCCACCUCAUGACAGUUCACUGGCAAUCUGGGUAAAUCAGGAACCCAAGGGCAGCACUUCCAUGGCAGAUGGUGACUGGAAAUGCCCCCUGGGACUCCAGCGUGCUAGCAGGCAAGAAUCCAGAAGAAUCCCAGGGCCUGAGAAAAUCUAGAUGGACAGAGACCUAAAGGGAUUAUUCUGAUGACUUAAAAAGAGGAGCCCAGAUUUCCUGCCUGAGUGUGCUUUGUGGACCCGAAUGAUUGCUGGACUCUUGUAUACAUGCACCCUGGACAGCACAUUCUGGAGGAAUCCUUGGGGAUCAAGUUGUACAGAAUAUCCAUGGGCUACAAAAUCUACAUCCUACUAGAAGAGAGAUGGUCAGAAGGUACACGGUUGCCCAGCUUCCAGAACACGCUGCAGAUCUUACGACUCCUGGAAUUCUGAGUUCCAGGUGGAUGGUUAUACUAUUGUGCCGCGUAGACUAACUUUUCAAAGGCUCUUGACAGAAGAAAGGAUUUUCAGUAGCAUUUCAAAUGGCAUACCCGAGGCCUAUAAGGGUCAUAGUUUGCCCUGCCUCUCCGGUAUCCAGGUUUCUACUUUCUGUAUCACAUUCUCAGGCAUGUGGAAGGAGCUUUUGGUUCCCAGGCAAGCAGGAUAAAUCCAGGUCAGAAGGGUUCUGGGAAUAUAGAAAAG